rnacentral:rRNA from 1 species
UACAGAGGUGGCAAGCGUUGUUCGGAAUUACUGGGCGUAAAGGGCGCGUAGGCGGUCAGGUCAGUCCCGUGUGAAAUCCCUCGGCUCAACUGAGGAACUGCACGGGAAACUACCUGGCUUGAGUUCGGAAGAGGGAAGCGGAAUUCCGGGUGUAGCGGUGAAAUGCGUAGAUAUCCGGAGGAACACCGGUGGCGAAGGCGGCUUCCUGGACCGACACUGACGCUGAGGCGCGAAAGCUAGGGGAGCAAACGGG